GCAAGACGACGAGCUGCGGACACUAAAAUCGCAAAGAUGCAGAGAAGAUUAACAUGGUCCCUACGCAAGGCUGACAUGCAAAAUCGUGAAGCGAAAAAAAGUAAU